rnacentral:rRNA from 1 species
CAGUCGAGGGGCAGCAUUUUAGUUUGCUUGCAACUAAAGAUGGCGACCGGCGCACGGGUGAGUAACACGUAUCCAACCUGCCGAUAACUCUGGGAUAGCCUUUCGAAAGAAAGAUUAAUACCGGAUGGCAUAGGAUUGUCGCAUGAUGAUCCUAUUAAAGAAUUUCGGUUAUCGAUGGGGAUGCGUUCCAUUAGGCAGUUGGUGAGGUAACGGCUCACCAAACCUUCGAUGGAUAGGGGUUCUGAGAGGAAGGUCCCCCACAUUGGAACUGAGACACGGUCCAAACUCCUACGGGAGGCAGCAGUGAGGAAUAUUGGUCAAUGGACGGGAGUCUGAACCAGCCAAGUAGCGUGAAGGAUGACUGCCCUAUGGGUUGUAAACUUCUUCUAUACGGGAAUAAAGUGAUCCACGUGUGGAUUUUUGUAUGUACCGUAUGAAUAAGGAUCGGCUAACUCCGUGCCAGCAGCCGCGGUAAUACGGAGGAUCCGAGCGUUAUCCGGAUUUAUUGGGUUUAAAGGGAGCGUAGGUGGAUUGUUAAGUCAGUUGUGAAAGUUUGCGGCUCAACCGUAAAAUUGCAGUUGAUACUGGCAGUCUUGAGUACAGUAGAGGUGGGCGGAAUUCGUGGUGUAGCGGUGAAAUGCUUAGAUAUCACGAAGAACUCCGAUUGCGAAGGCAGCUCACUGGACUGCAACUGACACUGAUGCUCGAAAGUGUGGGUAUCAAACAGGAUUAGAUACCCUGGUAGUCCACACAGUAAACGAUGAAUACUCGC